rnacentral:rRNA from 1 species
ACGUUGCCUCGGCGGAUCAGCCCGCGCCCCGUAAAAAGGGACGGCCCGCCCGAGGACCCCUAAACUCUGUUUUUAGUGGAACUUCUGAGUAAAACAAACAAAUAAAUCAAAACUUUCAACAACGGAUCUCUUGGUUCUGGCAUCGAUGAAGAACGCAGCAAAAUGCGAUAAGUAAUGUGAAUUGCAGAAUUCAGUGAAUCAUCGAAUCUUUGAACGCACAUUGCGCCCGCCAGUAUUCUGGCGGGCAUGCCUGUUCGGGCGUCAUUUCAACCCUCAAGCUCUGCUUGGUGUUGGGACUCGCGGUAACCCGCGUUCCCCAAAUCGAUUGGCGGUCACGUCGAGCUUCCAUAGCGUAGUAAUCAUACACCUCGUUACUGGUAAUCGUCGCGGCCACGCCGUAAAACCCCAACUUCUGAAUGUUGACCUCGGAUCAGGUAGGAAUACCCGCUGAACUUAAGCAUAUCAAUAAGCGGAGG